rnacentral:rRNA from 1 species
AGAGUUUGAUCAUGGCUCASGAUGAACGCUAGCGGCAGGCUUAACACAUGCAAGUCGAGGGGCAGCGAGGGUAGCAAUACCUGUCGGCGACCGGCGCAAGGGUGCGUAACGCGUGAGCAACAUGCCCGUAUCAGGGGGAUAAUCCAGGGAAACUUGGUCUAAUACCCCAUAGUAAUAUUUUCAGGCAUCUGGGGAUAUUUAAAGCUUUGGUGGAUACGGAUUGGCUCGCGUGACAUUAGCUGGAUGGUAGGGUAACGGCCUACCAUGGCUACGAUGUCUAGGGGUUCUGAGAGGAAGAUCCCCCACACUGGAACUGAGACACGGUCCAGACUCCUACGGGAGGCAGCAGUGAGGAAUAUUGGACAAUGGAUGGAAAUCUGAUCCAGCCAUGCCGCGUGCAGGAAGACGGCCCUAUGGGUUGUAAACUGCUUUUAUACGGGAGCAAUAAGGUCUACGCGUAGGCCGAUGAGAGUACCGUAGGAAUAAGCACCGGCUAACUCCGUGCCAGCAGCCGCGGUAAUACGGAGGGUGCAAGCGUUAUCCGGAUUUAUUGGGUU